UGGGGUAUAGCCAAGUGGUAAGGCAGCGGUUUCUGGUACCGCCAUUCGCAGGUUCGAAUCCUGCUACCCCAGCCA
rnacentral:tRNA from 1 species